GGGAUUGCCUUAGUAACUGCGAGUGAAGCGGCAAAAGCUCAAAUUUGAAAUGAGGCCCGUUGAUUGUCUGAUUAAUCAGCUCUCGACCCCUCAGUUGUAAUUUAGAGGAUUGCCAUGGUGAUAGCGCCCAUACGAAGUUCUUUGGAACAAGACACCAAUGAGGGUGAUAGUCCCGUCAGAUGAAAAAUGGUGCGCUACGGUGUCCGAUAUGGCAUAUCCGACGAGUCGAGUUGUUUGGGAAUGCAGCUCAAAAUGGGUGGUAAAUUUCAUCUAAAGCUAAAUACAGGCUGGAGACCGAUAGCGAACAAGUAGAGUGAUCGAAAGAUGAAAAGCACUUUGAAAAGAGAGUUAAAUAGUACGUGAAAUUGUUGAAAGGGAAGCGCUUGAGACCAGAUUCGGCUGGCGGUGUUCAUCCAUGCAAAUUUCUGCAUGGUGUAUGUGCCGUUGGUUGAGCCAGCAUCGGUUCUAAUGGCGGGAUAAAGGUUCGAGGAAUGUGGCUCCAAAAUUAUGCGGAGUGUUAUAGCCUUGAGUGCAAUGUCGCCUAUUGGAAUCGAGGACCGCGCUUCGGCUAGGAUGUUGGCUAAAAGGUCUUAAGCGGCCCGUCUUGAAACACGGACCAAGGAGUCUAACAUCUAUGCGAGUGUUUUGGCGUGAAACCAUUGCGCGUAAUGAAAGUGAACGAGGUGGGAACCCCAAGUUGGGGUGCACCAUCGACCGAUCCUGAAGUUUACGGAAGGAUUUGAGUAGAAGCAUAGCUGUUGGGACCCGAAAGAUGGUGAACUAUGCCUGAAUAGGGUGAAGCCAGAGGAAACUCUGGUGGAGGCUCGCAGCGGUUCUGACGUGCAAAUCGAUCGUCAAAUUUGGGUAUAGGGG
rnacentral:rRNA from 1 species